UGUUAUUUUCAUUUACUCUUUUAUAAUUUACCGCUCUGUUUUGUAACUUACGUGGUGUGUCACCUAUUAUCAAGUAUUUUAACUUGCCGUUCAACUAGUAUUUUUGUGUUACACAGUUGGUCUCAUAAAUAGUUGGUAAACCAAUUACUAAAUUACAAGUAUCAUCGAAGUCAAUAAUAAAUAAAUAUAAUAUUGGAGCAGUUUUGAAAACAAUAUUUUUAUACCACUUAUCAAAAUGGAGCUCAACUCUAUAAUGUUUCACCAAUCGGAUGUGAUUCUUUCAUCUAAUCUCCAACAUUAUUUGUCCUUCAUUUAUAUAGUUGACUAGAGAGGCUAUGCAAACUGGAAUCCGGGAUGUAGACUCACUGAGUCACUGGUGAUAAUUGGUACAGUAGAUAAUAUAAGUUGAUCGUUGAUGAUGGACCGAUCGGAAAGAGUUUUUUGGCUAUUGAGACUAUUAUUAAUUAAGAGCGUUUCGAUUAUGCUGGUGCGGAGAAGAAAAAGUUCUGUAUCUACAUUGCUAUCGGUCAAAUGAGAUCUACAGUAACUUGGAUCGUGAAAAUAGUGACGGCACUGCUAUUAACUAUUCUAUCAUCGUAUUCGAUACCGUGUCUGAUGCUGCUCUUUUCUUACACUUUUUUGCCAUGUGCCAUGGCAGAACUUUUUUUUUGUGACAACGGCAAACAUGUCUUCAUUAUUUAUGAUGAUUUGUCAAAAUCGGUAAUUGCUUACCAUUAAAUACUUUUAUUUUUGAGACGACCUUUAGGAAAUGAUGCUUAGCCUCGUCAUGUAUUCUAUAUUCAUUCUCGUUUUCUUGAAAGAGCAGUAAAAUCCAUUAAAUGUACAUAAAUAAUUGAGUUCGGACCGUCAAUAAUUUCCAGAUGUUUCAUCAAAAAAAUAAUAGUUAAAAAAAAAUGCCUUUAGUUUUCCAAAUUUUCAUUUGAUUCAGAAUUACAAUAACCAAGUUAGUUUUUCCAUCCAUCAUGGCAAAAUACGAGGACUCGUCAAAUUACUUUAAUCAUCCAUGGGAUCCAAUGACUUUGAGGCAUACGUAAACAUAGUUGCAUUUCAACAAGGUGCAACGCUUUUACUGGGACUUCCUUGAUAGUAAAAACUAUUUGACUGUCUCCGAAGCCGAUGAGUUACUCCAAGCGAGCAAACUUCGGAUUAAUAUGUAGAAUGAUGAUAUCAAAGACAAUAGAAAUCGUUAGAUUUCUAUUUAAGAGUGAUAUGUAGAUUUCUAUUCAUAUUUGAUAGUCGUCUAUUAGUGUACGGUUGACUGAAGUAGUUUCUUAAUAAGUUUUUAAAUCUUUUAAGUAUACAUAUUGUCAUUAUAACUUUAAUGUCUCAUUUAUUCCUUUUUUUUUAACUUAAUUAGUGUAACUAGAAACCAUUAGAUGUCUGUCACUUCUAGUUAUGUCUUGAGAAAAAAAAAGUAAUUAUGUAAAAUUAUUCUAAAAAUUUAGGAAAAUCUAAAAUAAAUCUAUUAAGUUUAUGAAAAUUUUUACUCUUAAUAAAUGCAAUAUUUCGUUAAUUAAU